GAUGAACGCUAGCUACAGGCUUAGCACAUGCAAGUCGAGGGGCAGCAUGGUCUUAGCUUGCUAAGGCCGAUGGCGACCGGCGCACGGGUGAGUAACACGUAUCCAACCUGCCGUCUACUCUUGGACAGCCUUCUGAAAGGAAGAUUAAUACAAGAUGGCAUCAUGAGUCCGCAUGUUCACAUGAUUAAAGGUAUUCCGGUAGACGAUGGGGAUGCGUUCCAUUAGAUAGUAGGCGGGGUAACGGCCCACCUAGUCUUCGAUGGAUAGGGGUUCUGAGAGGAAGGUCCCCCACAUUGGAACUGAGACACGGUCCAAACUCCUACGGGAGGCAGCAGUGAGGAAUAUUGGUCAAUGGGCGCAGGCCUGAACCAGCCAAGUAGCGUGAAGGAUGACUGCCCUAUGGGUUGUAAACUUCUUUUAUAAAGGAAUAAAGUCGGGUAUGUAUACCCGUUUGCAUGUACUUUAUGAAUAAGGAUCGGCUAACUCCGUG
rnacentral:rRNA from 1 species